CGGGGCGGUCGUACCAUGCAGUCGUACGUGUACACGUAAGCUUGCUCCUUGGGUGACGAGUGGCGGACGGGUGAGUAAUGUCUGGGAAACUGCCCGAUGGAGGGGGAUAACUACUGGAAACGGUAGCUAAUACCGCAUAACGUCGCAAGACCAAAGAGGGGGACCUUCGGGCCUCUUGCCAUCGGAUGUGCCCAGAUGGGAUUAGCUGGUAGGUGAGGUAAUGGCUCACCUAGGCGACGAUCCCUAGCUGGUCUGAGAGGAUGACCAGCCACACUGGAACUGAGACACGGUCCAGACUCCUACGGGAGGCAGCAGUGGGGAAUAUUGCACAAUGGGCGCAAGCCUGAUGCAGCCAUGCCGCGUGUGUGAAGAAGGCCUUCGGGUUGUAAAGCACUUUCAGCGGGGAGGAAGGCAAUACGGUUAAUAACCGUGUUGAUUGACGUUACCCGCAGAAGAAGCACCGGCUAACUCCGUGCCAGCAGCCGCGGUAAUACGGAGGGUGCAAGCGUUAAUCGGAAUUACUGGGCGUAAAGCGCACGCAUGCGGUCUGUCAAGUCGGAUGUGAAAUCCCCGGGCUCAACCUGGGAACUGCAUUCGAAACUGGCAUGCUUGAGUCUUGUAGAGGGGGGUAGACUCCAGGUGUAGCGUUGAAAUGCGUAAAGAUCUGGAGGAUACCGCUGGCGAUGCCGUCCUCUGGACAAAGACUGAUUCUCAGGUGCAAAAGCGUGGUGAGUCAAACAGGAUACAUACCUGGUAGUUCACGCGUAACGAUGUCACUUGGAGGUUGGCCUGAAGCGUGGCUCCGGACCUACCGUUCAGUCGACUGCUGGGAGAUACGCGCUAGUCAAGCUAUGAUGACGUGACCCGACACCGGGUGAAGUUGGCCUAAU
rnacentral:rRNA from 1 species